rnacentral:rRNA from 1 species
UACGUAGGGGCAAGCGUUGUCCGGAAUCAUUGGGCGUAAAGCGCGCGUAGGCGGCCCGGUAAGUCCGCUCUGAAAGUCCAGGGCUCAACCCUGGAAAGCGGGUGGAUACUGCCGGGCUAGAGUCCGGAAGAGGCGAGUGGAAUUCCUGGUGUAGCGGUGGAAUGCGCAGAUAGUCGUAAGGAAGACCAGUGGCGAAGGCGGGUCUCUGGA